rnacentral:lncRNA from 1 species
UUGUAUUAACAGUUGUCUUCAUACUAGACAUCUCUGUUAACAUCUGCUGCAUCAUAUCCAACAUUUGAAAUUGAAUUUGCUCAAUAGUUGCCAUCGUAUGCAGUGCCUGAAAAAAAAACGAGAAAUAAGAAAAAUAAAAUAAAAAGAAACAGUAAACGCCUGAAGUACUACCUAGUCCUAUCGGAAAUAUUAAAGCAACUUCUAAUCAAUCCCCGGCAACGGCGCCAAAAAGUUGAUCACUA